GGCCCGUUAGCUCAGUUGGUUAGAGCGUCGUGCUAAUAACGCGAAGGUCGCGGGUCUGAUCCCCCACGGACCA